rnacentral:rRNA from 1 species
AACGAACGCUGGCGGCAGGCCUAACACAUGCAAGUCGAACGGACCCUUCGGGGUUAGUGGCGGACGGGUGAGUAACACGUGGGAACGUGCCUCUAGGUUCGGAAUAGCUCCUGGAAACGGGUGGUAAUGCCGAAUGUGCCCUUCGGGGGAAAGAUUUAUCGCCUUUAGAGCGGCCCGCGUCUGAUUAGCUAGUUGGUGGGGUAAUGGCUCACCAAGGCGACGAUCAGUAGCUGGUCUGAGAGGAGGACCAGCCACACUGGGACUGAGACACGGCCCAGACUCCUACGGGAGGCAGCAGUGGGGAAUCUUGCGCAAUGGGCGAAAGCCUGACGCAGCCAUGCCGCGUGAAUGAUGAAGGUCUUAGGAUUGUAAAAUUCUUUCACCGGGGACGAUAAUGACGGUACCCGGAGAAGAAGCCCCGGCUAACUUCGUGCCAGCCGCCGCCGUAA